rnacentral:rRNA from 1 species
CCGAAUUCGUCGACAACAGAGUUUGAUCCUGGCUCAGGACGAACGCUGGCGGCGUGCUUAACACAUGCAAGUCGAACGCUGAAGCUCCAGCUUGCUGGGGUGGAUGAGUGGCGAACGGGUGAGUAAUACGUGAGUAACCUGCCCUUGACUCUGGGAUAAGCCUGGGAAACCGGGUCUAAUACUGGAUACGACGUCCUACCGCAUGGUGGGGCGUGGAAAGGGUUUUACUGGUUUUGGAUGGGCUCACGGCCUAUCAGCUUGUUGGUGGGGUAAUGGCCUACCAAGGCGACGACGGGUAGCCGGCCUGAGAGGGUGACCGGCCACACUGGGACUGAGACACGGCCCAGACUCCUACGGGAGGCAGCAGUGGGGAAUAUUGCACAAUGGGCGCAAGCCUGAUGCAGCGACGCCGCGUGAGGGAUGACGGCCUUCGGGUUGUAAACCUCUUUCAGCAGGGAAGAAGCCACAAGUGACGGUACCUGCAGAAGAAGCGCCGGCUAACUACGUGCCAGCAGCCGCGGUAAUACGUAGGGCGCAAGCGUUGUCCGGAAUUAUUGGGCGUAAAGAACUCGUAGGCGGUUUGUCGCGUCUGCUGUGAAAGCCCGGGGCUCAACCCCGGGUCUGCAGUGGGUACGGGCAGACUAGAGUGCAGUAGGGGAGACUGGAAUUCCUGGUGUAGCGGUGAAAUGCGCAGAUAUCAGGAGGAACACCGAUGGCGAAGGCAGGUCUCUGGGCUGUUACUGACGCUGAGGAGCGAAAGCAUGGGGAGCGAACAGGAUUAGAUACCCUG